CCGCCCGCCGCGGCCUCGUGUCGGGGCCGCCGCAGGAGCCGCUGGGGACCCCGGAGACCGUCGUGGGCUUCGCCGCCAUGUUCCUGAGCUGCCUGGGCCCGGCCGCCUGGGUGCUGGGGCACCUGGAGGACUACAAGAAACGGGAGUGACGGCGCCGGCCACCGGGAUCUGCGGGAGCCUCUGCGGGAUCCUGCGCCGGGACCAGCGGGAAUUCCCCCCCGGGGCCCCGCCCGYAGCGCCGGGCCCCCGCCGCGCCGCCC